rnacentral:rRNA from 1 species
UACGUAGGGUCCAAGCGUUGUCCGGAUUUACUGGGUUUAAAGGGUGCGUAGGCGGCUUUGUAAGUCGGGGGUGAAAGCCUGUGGCUCAACCACAGAAUUGCCUUCGAUACUGCAUGGCUUGAGACCGGAAGAGGUAAGUGGAACUGCGAGUGUAGAGGUGAAAUUCGUAGAUAUUCGCAAGAACACCAGUGGCGAAGGCGGCUUACUGGUCCGGUUCUGACGCUGAGGCGCGAAAGCGUGGGGAGCAAACAGG